UGUAAAAAAAAGGGUCAUUACACUUGUAUAUCCUGUUACAGCAGUUUUGGACAGUGAAACACAUAAAACAGUUGGAAGAAACAGCUGCUGUUCAGCCUCCUGAAGGAACUGUCAAACUCGUCUUUCUCAAGAUAGCUGGAAUGGAUGAAAAAAUAAGUUGCACAACCCAAAUGCUUGAUUCAUCAAGGCUGGCUGGAGAGCUGCUCAAAGACAGUGCCAUCUGAAGUCCAUCUCCUGGGCCCUGGCAGAACCUGAAUUUUAAUAUGAAGGGGAUUCACAGGCAUUGUACCAAAGAGAUUUGCUGUUACUCUGUACUCAAAAACUACACAGUUUUCCACUGGGACCACUUCUGUUUUAAAAGGAAUACAAAAUGAGGAACUAAAUGGUGUGUACUUUAGUUACUGCUCACACAGACUUCAAUGAAGAGAGAGUAUGAGAGAAUCUAUUCUCUUUCAGCAGCUGUAGUAGCAGAAAUCUAAGCUACGUGAUUAUCCAACUGUCUUACCCUGUUAGAAUUGGUAAGUCUGGGCUUUACAUUUUUUUUUUUUUUCUUCUUCUUCUUCUUCCUCCUUACAUUUUGUUCCAGAAUGCAGGCAACAUUUACUUUAUUUUAAAAAGUGUGUGUGUUUUUCUUUUCUUUUUUUUUUUUUGUUAAGGUUACCAUGUUUUAGCUUUUAUUUUAGCACUAUGAGCAUUUUCAGAGCAAUGUAGCUAAUUUUUAUAAGCAUUAAAGGGUCUGGGUAUGUGCAUACUGUUUUUCAAAAGUGAAUUAGGCAUGGAGUAUUCUAAAUUCCAUUGAUAUUCAACAAGAUUUAGACUUCUAAG
rnacentral:lncRNA from 1 species